CGCAGCAUCACAGUAUGAAGGCAGCAUGAAUGGACGAGUUACCAUGACAACCACAAACAAUAUGUUCACCUGCAAGUAUUAAUGCAACGAACGGCGAGUAUGAACCCGUGAUCAGACAGAAAAGCAACACGCUGCUGCAGCAAAAAACAGAGGAACAGCGAUUUCCCAAUUUGAUUGUCUGCAUUGAUGGAAUCACUGCUCAGUGGAUGAAGCCGACUGUGUGAACAGGAAGUGUUUUCACAGCAUCAACGUGCAGAUAAAAUGACCACAUGACUGUAACACGCCUCAUUCUCUGUACCAGCCACAUCAUAUGUGAUGCUGCAUACCUGAUAACUCCCCAGUGAAACCACAAACCUGAAAAUCCAACAAAAAACUGAAAAGAAACACAGCAAAGUACACAGAGGGGAGAGGAGACAAGGCGAAAAGAAGACAAAGACACAGUGAUAAAAGGAGAGGACACAAGGAGACAAGGAGACGUAGAACGUGUUAUUUUAGGGUUAAGGUCAAUAAAGG
ensembl:lncRNA